rnacentral:rRNA from 1 species
AUUGAACGCUGGCGGCAGGCCUAACACAUGCAAGUCGAGCGAACCUAGCUUGCUAGGUGAGCGGCGAACGGGUGAGUAACACGUAGGAAUCUGCCCGAUAGUGGGGGACAACGUCUCGAAAGGGACGCUAAUACCGCAUACGCCCUAAGGGGGAAAGCAGGGGAUCUUCGGACCUUGCGCUAUCGGAUGAGCCUGCGUCGGACUAGCUAGUUGGCGGGGUAAAGGCCCACCAAGGCGACGAUCCGUAGCUGGUCUGAGAGGAUGAUCGGCCACACCGGAACUGAGACACGGUCCGGACUCCUACGGGAGGCAGCAGUGGGGAAUAUUGGACAAUGGGGGCAACCCUGAUCCAGCCAUGCCGCGUGUGUGAAGAAGGCCUUCGGGUUGUAAAGCACUUUAAGCGGGGAGGAAAGUUUGCUGGCUAAUAUCCAGCGGAAUUGACGUUACCCGCAGAAUAAGCACCGGCUAACUCCGUGCCAGCCGCCGCGGUAA